UACGGAGGGGGUUAGCGUUGUUCGGAAAUACUGGGCGUAAAGCGCACGUAGGCGGCUCAGCAAGUCAGGGGUGAAAUCCCGGGGCUCAACCCCGGAACCGCCCUUGAAACUGCUAGGCUAGAAUCUUGGAGAGGUCAGUGGAAUUCCGAGUGUAGAGGUGAAAUUCGUAGAUAUUCGGAAGAACACCAGUGGCGAAGGCGACUGACUGGACAAGUAUUGACGCUGAGGUGCGAAAGCGUGGGGAGCAAACAGG
rnacentral:rRNA from 1 species